rnacentral:rRNA from 1 species
UGCAAAUGAAAGCUACGGCACUAAAGGAGAGCUUUGCGUCUAUUAGCUAGUUGGUAGGUAAGAGCUUACCAAGCGAUGAUAGGUAGCCGGCCUGAGAGGGUGGACGGCCACAAGGGGACUGAGAUACGGCCCUUACUCCUACGGGAGGCAGCAGUGGGGAAUAUUGGACAAUGGAGGGAACUCUGAUCCAGCAAUUCUGUGUGUGUGAAGAAGGUUUUAGGACUGUAAAACACUUUUAGUAGGGGAAGAAAAAAAUGACGGUACCUACAGAAGAAGCAACGGCUAAAUACGUGCCAGCAGCCGCGGUAAU